CUCUUCAAGCAAAAAGACUUAGCAAUUUUGGGAACUCUUCAAAUACCACCAUUCCAGUGAACCCCAUUGCCCUUAGGAUAAAAUCUGCAAUCCUUCACAAGCCUUUGAGGCCCUGCGUGAUGGGGUCCUACCUGCCUCUCCAGCUCCGGCUCCUGCCACUGGCCCCCAAACCUCCUGCACUCAACCACAAUGGCCACCACUCUGGUUUCUGACUGCCCCAAUUUCCUCUCCACCUUCAGCCUUUGCUUGUGCUGCGCCCUCCCCCUGGGGCUCUUCCUCUCUCUUUACCUGGCAAUCCUCCUUAUCCUUGUUCCAGGUUGAAUGUCAUCGGCAAAGAUCAGGCAAGCUCCUCCAUUAUGAUCUUCUGGGAUCAUAAGAUCAUUAAGAACUUCAUUACAGGUCUUAGCACAAGCGUGAAUAAUUACUAUUGCUUUAAAAUUGUGCUCCCCCACUGGCAGGGACUUUGUCUAUCAUAUACACCUAGCACUUAGUGCAAUGCUGAAUAUUUCGUAGGUCAAAUGCACAAAUGAAUGAAGUAGGUGCACAAAAGAUAUUGACUGCCUAUGAGAGAAUCUAACAAAGCAAACCCAGUAAAACAAAAUCUUCAUCUUAAAUGUGCACAAACUAGGGAGUGAGUAUUCUCUCCUACCUCUCCUCUCCAAUCAUUCUGGCACAAGGAUUUCAGAUGGUCCUGCCUUCCCAUCAGGGCUGUACCAUCAAAUCUACUGCCUGGCUUUCAGGACCCUCCCUUAUCAUUAUCAUCAUCAUGAACAUUAUUGAACAUGUAAUAUGUUCCAUGUGCAUUACUCAGUAUUCUCUACUGAUCUAUUUUGAUCCUCACUGCAAUCCAUAAAAUAGUGCAGUGUAUUAAAGAUGGGCACAGAUGCAUAAAUUCUUUGACAUUUCUCUCAUUGAGAGGUGGGGUCUUUGUCCCCUCCCCUUGAAUCUGAGCUAUCAUGUGACUGCUUUGACCAAUAGAGUGCACAGGAAAUCAUGUCAUGCCUUUUCCAGUUUCUGUGUCGGAAUGGUCACUCUGGGGGAAGACUGCUUACAACUAAUGACUAACACCUAAUUGGCACAAAGAAUGUAAGAAGUCUGACUCCCCUGAGACUGCAGGGAGGAAACUCGAGCUGGUUGCAGGGAGAGGUCCUGGGGAAAGAAUGCCCUUCCAGCCCCCAGCUGUUGCAACCAUGCCAGCCCGGGUGCCAGGCACGUACAUGAAGGCACUAUCUUGCACAUCCAGCCCAGUGGAGCCUUCAGCUGACUCCAGCCCCAGCCACAGGAGAAGCUCCAUGACAGACCACUCAGCUGACCCCAGUUAACCCCCAAAAUUGUAAGAGAGAAUAACAAAUUAGUAUUUUAAGCCACUAGAUUGUGGGGAGGAUUAUUAGGCAGCAAUAAAUAGCCAAAACACAUAGGCACUAUUAUGACCCUGGCUUUAUAAAUGAGAAACUGAGACCCAGCACACUCAAAACCACACAGCUGGGAAGGGGUGGAGCUGGGAGCCCAAUCCAGGAAGGCUGGCUUCAGAACCCAGGCUUUCAUCAUCCAUGCAGCCACACCACUCUUUGGCAGGCAACUUUUUCCAUUUGACUCCUCCAAGACAUAGUCUCUACUGCUGUUGUGCCUCUAAAAGGGUCCCCUUCUCUUUCCUUCUGCCCAUGUGCCUAAUCCCCUACCUCUAUCAUGAUCCCCUCUCUGAAUCCUCUACUGAUAUGCCCUUCCUCCAAAUUCCUGGGUACAUUUAAAGAUAGGCAUCUAGCCUUACCAUUCAUUGUUCUAGUAAUAUUCUUCAUGCUGUUUUUUGCUUCACAACUAUACGUUAUCUCCUUAAAGGUCAAGACUAAAUCUCCUAUUUUGAUUUUGCCCACCUCUCCAGAAAACCUUGCCCAUCCCCACUUUGCCCAGCACAAUGCUGUGCACUCAAUAAAUGCACCCUCCAGCCAUACUGGCCAAGCUCAUUCCCUUUUCAGAGCCUUUAUGUUUGCAGUUCCCUUUCCCUGGAAUACGCUUUCUUAGCUUUCAACCUGAGCUGCUCCUUCACAGCACUCAGAUCUCAGAAAAUAUCUCCCCUCCACCAACAGGCCUAUCCUGACCACCCUGUCUAAAGGAGCCACGCCUCCCCACCCCUAGUCAGCCACUCACCAUCUCCUUAUCCUGCAUUGUAUUAAUUAGUUGUCAGUUUCUUAAUUCCCUUAGGUAGCAAACAAGUUCCAGAAGGACAGAACAUGCCCAUCUUGUUUAUUGCUAUAGUCUCAAUCCCCAGGACAGUUUCUGGCCUAUAGUAACAUCUCAAAAAAUAUUGUUAAAUAAAUGAAUGCAUAUUUGUUGAUU
rnacentral:lncRNA from 1 species